UGGGGAAUAUUGGACAAUGGGCGAAAGCCUGAUCCAGCCAUGCCGCGUGUGUGAAGAAGGUCUUCGGAUUGUAAAGCACUUUAAGUUGGUAGGAAGGGCAGUAAGCGAAUACCUUGCUGUUUUGACGUUACCGACAGAAUAAGCACCGGCUAACUCUGUGCCAUCAGCCGCGGUAAUACAGCGGGUGCAAGCGUUAAUCGGAAUUACUGGGCGUAAAGCGCGCAUAGGUGGUUCGUUAAGUUGAAUGUGAAAGCCCCUGGCUCAACCUGGGAACUGCAUCCAAAACUGGCGAGCUAGAGUAGGGCAGAGGGUGGUGGAAUUUCCUGUGUAGCGGUGAAAUGCGUAGAUAUAGGAAGGAACACCAGUGGCGAAGGCGACCACCUGGGCUCAUACUGACACUGAGGUGCGAAAGCGUGAGGAGCAAACAGG
rnacentral:rRNA from 1 species